rnacentral:misc_RNA from 1 species
GUGAAUCAUCAAAUCUUUGAACGCAAAUUGCACUCUCUGGCAUUCCGGUGAGUAUGUCUGUUUGAGGGUCGGAAUAAAUAAAAAUCGUGGUGUUGCUCUUUUGUGACCCAUCGGAAUUGGGCCAUCUUUGACCUUUUAAAAGGUUUAAGCGUCAUAAAAUUGUUACCUUGUGCGUCUCAGACGUACAUAAGAAUAUUUUUUUAUCUGUCCGGAU